UCUGGCGAGGAAGUAGGCCGGGCUCACACGCCUUAGCCAGAGGGCGGGCCUGCGCGCGCCCUCGGAAAGCGUCACUUCCACUUCCGGCCGUUGCUCAGGCUCUACACCUGGACAGGGCAGCGGUAGGGCAGCGGUGGGCCGGCGGUUGCGCUCCUCAGAUGGGCGGCCUUCCGGGCGGUGGCUUGCAUUUGAGCCUCAGAAAGCGAGGAGCGGCCUCCACGGAAGCCAAGCUGGCCGAGUGCUUUUAGGAAGAAGAUCCUUUUAUUGCUUUUGUACAAGACCAGACAGGAUCUCAUUUGUCAAACGUGGUACCAGUUGGGUGUCUUAACACAGGAGCAGAACUUCCUAGAGCAGAAUGAUGAUGGUAGAUCUGAAAGUGGCUGCGUACUUGGACCCUCAGAUCAGGGCUUUGUGGGAGACCAAGGGGCCUGCAAGAGAGAGCUCCGGUCAGAGUAAAAAAUCUCCUCGAAUGGACAGUCUCGAUCCUAAGAGCUCUUGCUGGCACUUCCGGAACUUCACCUAUGAUGAAGCAGCUGGACCCCGUGAGGCUGUCAGCAAACUUCAAGAAUUAUGUCAUCUAUGGCUGAGGCCAGCGAUCCACUCAAAAGAGCAGAUACUGGAACUGCUGGUGCUGGAGCAGUUCCUGACUAUUCUGCCCAGGGAGACACAGACCCAGAUGAAGAAGCACCAUCCACAGAGCAUUGAGGAGGCUGUGGCUCUGGUAGAACACUUGCAGAGGGAAUCUGGUCAAACAUGGAAUGGGGUUGCAGUCCAUGAGCUGAGAAAGGAGGCAGUGCUCUUGGGAGAAACAACAGAGGCCUCAAGUUUCAGGCUGAAGCCAACAGAGUCCCAACCAGUGGGCAUAUCCCAAGAUGAAGAAUUUUGGAAUACAUACCAGGGUCUGCAAGAACAGCUCAGCAGGAAUACUCAUAAAGAGACUGAGCCUGUGUAUGAGAGGGCUGUGCCUACUCAACAGAUUCUAGCCUUUCCUGGGCAAACAAACACCAAAGACUGGACAGUGACACCUGAGCGCGUCUUACCUGAGUCUCAGCAUUGUUUGUGCUCCCCAAACCUAAAGUGAUCUCCUGUCUAGAGCAAGGGGAAGAGCCAUGGGUUCAAGUAUCCCCGGAGUUUAAGGAUAGUGCUGGAAAAUCUCCUACAGGGUUAAAGCUCAAAAACGACACUGAAAAUCAUCAGCCUGUAUCCCUUUCUGACUUAGAAAUACAAGCAUCAGCAGGCAUCAUAUCAAAAAAGGCCAAAGUAAAAGUUCCCCAGAAAACAGCAGGCAAAGAAAAUCAUUUUGAUAUGCACAGAGUGGGAAAAUGGCACCAAGAUUUUCCAGUGAAGAAAAGAAAGAAACUUUCAACCUGGAAACAAGAGCUGCUUAAACUUAUGGAUCGUCACAAGAAAGAUUGUGCAAGAGAGAAGCCUUUUAAAUGUCAGGAAUGUGGGAAAACCUUCAGAGUUAGCUCUGACCUUAUUAAGCACCAAAGAAUUCACACUGAAGAGAAACCCUAUAAAUGUCAACAGUGUGAUAAGAGGUUUAGAUGGAGUUCAGAUCUUAAUAAGCACUUAACAACACACCAAGGAAUAAAACCAUAUAAAUGUUCAUGGUGUGGGAAAAGCUUCAGUCAAAAUACAAAUCUACAUACACACCAAAGAACUCAUACAGGAGAAAAGCCCUUCACAUGUCAUGAAUGUGGAAAAAAAUUCAGUCAGAACUCCCACCUUAUUAAACACCGGAGAACCCACACAGGUGAGCAGCCAUAUACUUGUAGCAUAUGCAGGAGAAACUUCAGCAGGCGGUCAAGCCUUCUUAGACACCAGAAACUCCACCUGUGAAGAGAAGCUUGUCCAGUGUCCUCAUUCUGAAGACAUUCACCAAAUGGAGCUUGACACUAAAAUUUAUGUAAAACAAAAAUCACAAACCUUGAAAAAUUUUACAUCAGAAAAUGGAGGGAUAAACAUAUGUUUCACAGAAAAUAAUCAAGACUUGCUCUGCAGCCACUCAGUAGUCUUCUGUGGUCACAGAAGUAAACAUUGUUGGUUUUGUAUUGAUCUCUCCAGUCAUGUUUGAACACAUCCAAUAGAAACAUUGGCAGCAUGGUCUUCCAAAACAGAAAGCAGUAACAUGCAUGUUUAAUUGCAUACCAUUCUCUUCACAGUAGCAGGCUUACCAAUUUCAAUAGUCUCAUGAGGCAGAAAUGAAUUACAAUGUAAAGUGUUCCAAGAACCAAAUUGGAUUUUCUUUCUUUUGUCAUUGGACAUGGUUUGCAAAGUUGAACAUUAUUUGAGUUCCUUCUUGAACUUUUUGGCAACUUCUCUUGGAUCCUGUUAUCACAGUUUUUUACUGUGAUGAAAUCAUGUUAACUUCACCACUAGGGAAUCUCCGGAUGAACUAUUAAUGCACUAUCUUAUGCCUCUCAUUGGUGAUGUUUGGAAAAUAGAAAACAUCUCUAAUGGAAUCAUGGGGAAACGGGUUGGAAUUUGUAGCCAUGGAAUAUAUAUUAGAUGUAAAGAAUUUUCUGCAAUAAAAGAAACUAUACUUGUU
rnacentral:sRNA from 1 species